rnacentral:misc_RNA from 1 species
AUGAGUUUGAAAGGGGUUGUUGCUGGCCUUCUCGGAGGCAUGUGCACGCCUCGCUCACUCCAUUUACACCUGUGAACCUAUGGUGGUUUGGUCUGAUUGACCGGAUUGCCUUUUUUACAAACACACAAAGUAUCAGAAUGUAUUUGCUAUAACGCAUAUAAUA